rnacentral:rRNA from 1 species
CAUGUAGGCGGUUUUUUAAAGUCUGGAGUGAAAAUGCGGGGCUCAACCCCGUAUGGCUCUGGAUACUGGAAGACUUGAGUGCAGGAGAGGAAAGGGGAAUUCCCAGUGUAGCGGUGAAAUGCGUAGAUAUUGGGAGGAACACCAGUGGCGAAGGCGCCUUUCUGGACUGUGUCUGACGCUGAGAUGCGAAAGCCAGGGUAGCGAACG